CGAAUAUCUCCUAUCACUUGGGUGGCGACAUCUAGAAAUAGUUUAGGCAACAACCACCAAUGACGGCUUCUACUUCUACAGUAGACAAACGACACAAUUGUCCUAACCUCGUUCUUGUGUAAUUUUAAUUAUCUACAAUUUGCUAGUUACGUUCGUUAAGGCCCAGUUAUGUUUGUUUCAGAUGAAAUGGUAAUUGCGGCUCUCGUGAAAGAUGCCAAAAGGUUCAAAAGCAAAUGGGAAUUACACACAGGUGAAACUAUCCGAUCAAAACCCAAUGUAGUUUUUCUUAAAAGAACUUUGUCCAAUGUUGUUAAAGUAAAUCAUGAUUUAAUGCGAAAACCACACAAUGUGGAAAGUAUGCAUAGUACUUUGAAUGAAAAGAUAAAAGAAAAGGAAAUUGAGAAGAGUCCAAAGAAUGGUAGAAAAUCGCCUUCUAGAGUGCCUAAAAAAUCAAGAGAAUGCUCCAAAUCAAAAUAUCAGACUGCUAAAAAUAAAAGUAAGUCAAUGAACUCCUCACAGCAAAAGCGGAAGAAAGUCUAAGUGGAGGUCAUCUCCAAAGGGAUAUUUUGUAUAUAUUUAAUGACCUACAUAAGUACUUAUUCACAAACAUAUUUACGUUGUUACAUAUAGCUUUUAAUUGUAGGUUAAACUCAUUUAUGUCCUGUAAAAUGACAUUCGAGUGUAUUUGUUUUUGAUGUCACACAUAUAGGUUACUGUAAAAUAGUACAUAAGGUUUAAGGUCCAAUAAAAAUUCAUUUUCCA